rnacentral:rRNA from 2 species
AAAUUGAAGAGUUUGAUCAUGGCUCAGAUUGAACGCUGGCGGCAGGCCUAACACAUGCAAGUCGAACGGUAACAGGAAGCAGCUUGCUGCUUCGCUGACGAGUGGCGGACGGGUGAGUAAUGUCUGGGAAACUGCCUGAUGGAGGGGGAUAACUACUGGAAACGGUGGCUAAUACCGCAUAACGUCGCAAGACCAAAGAGGGGGACCUUCGGGCCUCUUGCCAUCAGAUGUGCCCAGAUGGGAUUAGCUAGUUGGUGAGGUAACGGCUCACCAAGGCGACGAUCCCUAGC